GCCUCCCCACACCGCCAACUAACUACAGAUGACAUUAUUCCUCAAUACUCCCAACCCGAGAAUGAAGAACAAGCUCCAGUUUCCUGCGGUCUCCCUCUCCCCCUGUCUGCCCUCCGCGGUUCCCCCGCCCCAACACUCCAGGUGUGCAGACUUCCUCCCCGUCCUCUACUCAUGCAUCGCUCCAACCAAUCCCACGCCACACCACGAGUCCUCUGCCACGGGGAUCAGACUCCUCCACACCCACCUCCACUUGGGGUCGCCGCCGCCUCCCCGGAGGUUUCUCUCCACCCCUCGCUAGCGAGCCCGAGACCAAGGGCGCGCGCGCACAUUCUCACGCUUCCCCAACCUCCCUCCUCGCACCGGGACGAGCCGGCUUCGCCAGAGCUCAGCCCGGGCGGUAGGGGCUAAGCACCCAUACCCGUUCCGCCCCCUCCCGCAGAUCCCCUUGCAGUCUCCGCCGCCCUGCCCGGCGAGGAGAGGACGCAGCAACUCCCCCGCCACCCCGGACUUACCACCUCGGUGUCUGUUGCUCCAUGCCCCAACCUGCGGCCCGCUCCCCCUACGUACCAGCCCGGCCUCGGCACUCACCGGAGGUUUCGGGCCAAAAAGCUGAAAUAAAGAACGAAGUCAAUAAUAAUAUGAAGUGUAUGAGAAAUAGCUGGAAAAUUCAUCAUCCAUGACUUGAAGAAAUUGACGUUUUACAAGUUAUAUUUUCGGUGAAGAGGCACUUUCAAGAUCCUUCUCUGAGACCUGCACCAAUAAGACUAUACCAAUGUUCAGUUGAAACAUCAGACACUGUUCUGGUUAUGAUGGACACCACAAUGAAAGAGACCUGCUCCCUGUCUUGAGGAAACCCAACUGCUGGUAGAGAGCUCAGAGUAAUGAUUAGGAUGCAAUAUGAGGGAUGCAGUAAUUGGGGUCAUGCUACUGGCCCCGCCCAGUUAUGUAACAACUUGCAUUUCCUCAAUUCUCUGGAAUGUGGCCAGUCAGGAACUUCCACAUUUGCUUUUUUUCCGCUCCCCCCCCCCCCCCCCCCCGCCCAUUUGUGGGUAAGAAAGUAAAAGAGGCAGGAAAACUGAAUUGAGAAAGAAGAAAGAAAAGGGGAAGAGAGAAAGAAAAAAGAAAACCAUGAAGCCUGGAAGAGGAGAAAGAAGAGAUAGAUGAGCAAAGAAGCACAUUGCCUGGUGGUAGUAAUAGUUGUCAGACACCCAUCUAUUAUAAUCUGUUUUCCAUGGGAGAUUUUAAGAAGAGGCUAGAUCCCCAGUCUGUCUUAAAAUCAAUAAAAGGGACUCUGUUGCCUCUAAAGUAUACUUCCAGACUCAGCAAUCUCUAAAUUCUGAGUGGGGCAUCCCUAGUUUUGCUGCCUAAAAUCUAUGACAGUUGGAAAUGAUUCCAUUUAAGAUCCAGUUCAAGAAGCUGUACACCCUGAGGAACUUUAUAUUGCUAUUUAAAGGACCGAUAUUCUCCAGAUUGCUUGAGCCCAGGAGUUCGAGACCAGCCUGGGCAACAUGGCAAAAUUCCAUCUCUACCAAAAAAAAAAACAAAAUUAGCUGGGCAUGGUGGUACGCAUCUGUAGAACCAGCUACUGUGGAGGCUGAGCUCAGAGAACCCCUUGAGCCUAGGAGAUGGAGGUUGCUGUGAGCCAAGAUCGUGCCACUGCACUCAAGCCUGGGUGACAGAGCCAGACCCUAUCUCAUAAAUAAAUAAAUGUCAAUAUUCUCCAAAA